GAUGAACGCUGGCGGCGUGCCUAAUACAUGCUAGUCGAGCGGACAGACGAGGAGCUUGCUCCUCUGACGUUAGCGGCGGACGGGUGAGUAACACGUGGAUAACCUACCUAUAAGACUGGGAUAACUUCGGGAAACCGGAGCUAAUACCGGGUAAUAUAUUGAACCGCAUGGUUCAAUAGUGAAAGACGGUUUUGCUUUCACUUAUACAUGGAUCCGCGCCGCAUUAGCUAGUUGGUAAGGUAACGGCUUACCAAGGCGACGAUGCGUAGCCGACCCGAGCGGGUGGCUCGCCCCACUGGCACUAGGACACGGCCCAGACUGCUACGAACGGCGGCAGUAGCGAUCUGUCCGCGAGGCGCCAAAGCGCGACGGCGCAAGGCCGCGUCAGUCCUGCAGGCCUUCGGAUCGUAAACCUCUGUUAUUGCAGAAGAACCAAUGUGUAAGUGGCUAUGCACGCCUUGACGGUACCUCCACAGAAGGCCACGGCUAGCUACGUG
rnacentral:rRNA from 1 species